GUCUCGGUGGCGCAAUUGGUAAGCUUGUCCUUCAACAUCUCACAACAUCACUCAGUUACUAAUUCAAUAUUACAGGUUAGCGCGUACGACUGUUAAUCGUGAGGUUGAGAGUUCGAUCCUCUCCCGGGACG
rnacentral:tRNA from 1 species